rnacentral:rRNA from 1 species
AUGAACGCUGGCGGCGUGGAUAAGGCAUGCAAGUCGAACGGUUCUCUUUAUUGAAGAAGAUGCGAUUACAUCAAAUUAACAGAUAUUUUGAAAACAGUGGCGAACGAGCUAGUAACACCUUGGUACGUACCCGAAAGUUUGGUAUAGCUCGCCGAAAGGCGGGGUAAUCCCAAAUAGUCCCUUCAUCUAUCGGAUGAUAGGGUAAAGUAGCAAUACGCUUUCGGAUCGGCCUAGGUCCGAUCAGUUAGUUGGUGAGGUAAUGGCUCACCAAGACAAUGACCGGUAGGGG